CCUUCCCUUCCCUUCCCUUCCCUUCCCUUCCCUUCCCUUCCCUUCCCUAUGGAAUGCCGUUCCCUAUGGAAUGUCCCUCCCCUGGCACGGCUCUCCCUGGCACAUCCCUCGCUCCGUGCCAGCUCCAGCGGCGCUUUUCCAGGGGCCGGGAACAUUCGGGAAUUCCCGAGCAGCCCUGGACGCGUUUCCAGCGGCGCUGGAAAACUCCGGGAGCGGCUCUGGAAAACUCCGGGAGCGCUCCCGGCGGGACAAGGGCGGCUUUGUGGGAGUUGUUGUUGUUGUUGCCGCUGGAAUUCGCCGGGAUCCGCAGCUUUUCCACGCCAGAAACUCGCCGCUCCCACCCGAGUUUCCCCCGGGAUUGGGGGAUCCCAGAUCCCAUCCCGCUCCCGAGGGAAACUUCCCGGGAAUUCCCGAUCCCCCCGCGCCGGGAGCGGCGGGAGGGCCGGGAAUGCUCCCGCUGCUCCGGCAAUUCUGCCAUUCCCAUUCCCAUUCCCAUUCCCAUUCCCAUUCCCAUUCCCAUUCCCAUUCCCUUAAUCCCGACCUUUUGGGAGCCGAGCCUCGGGAUCAGCGGGAAAAACCGGGAAUGCCGGAGAGGAGGGAAAACCGGGACUUACUGCGCCGCUGGAUGCGGCGUUUUCCAGCGCUGCCUCCAAAUCCCGGGAUUUCUCAGCCGGGAACAAACUCUGCCCACAUGGAACUGCGGGCUCGGCUUUUCCAGAGGCACGAUCCCGCCGGGAAACGCCCACAGCGAUGAUCCCAGAGCCGAUCAACCCGGAAAUCAGCGCGGCCAAACGCGGCCGGGAUCGGAUCCAGCGGCGAGGAAGUGGAAAAAAAAGCAGGAAAAAAUAUCAAAAUUCCAGCCCCGCCACGCAUCCGCGCCUCUGGAAAACUCCCGGAGCUCCUCCCGAGAAUUCCAACCCUCCCGCGGCUGCUCAUUCCCAGAUUAUUCCCACAAAUCCCAGCCCGGAGAGUUUCCCGUUCUGCUUCCCAAAAAUCCGCUGCUUUUCCUGCAGUGUUCCGCUGGGAACGGCUUUCCCCAAUUUCAGAGAGUGGGAUGGGGAGGGAUGAGCGGGCUUGG
rnacentral:lncRNA from 1 species